CCUACGGGAGACAGCAGUGAGGAAUAUUGGUCAAUGGGCGCGAGCCUGAACCAGCCAAGUAGCGUGAAGGAUGACUGCCCUACGGGUUGUAAACUUCUUUUGUCAGGGAGCAAUUGGGUCCACGCGUGGGCUUAGCGAGAGUACCUGAAGAAAAAGCAUCGGCUAACUCCGUGCCAGCAGCCGCGGUAAUAUGGAGGAUGCGAGCGUUAUCCGGAUUUAGUGGGUUUAAAGGGUGCGUAGGCGGAAUAUCAAGUCAGCGGUAAAAAUUCGGGGCUCAACCCCGUCGUGCCGUUGAAACUGAUGUUCUUGAGUGGGCGAGAAGUAUGCGGAAUGCGUGGUGUAGCGGUGAAAUGCAUAGAUAUCACGCAGAACUCCGAUUGCGAAGGCAGCAUACCGGCGCCCAACUGACGCUGAAGCACGAAAGCGUGGGUAUCGAACAGGAUUAGAUACCCGAGUAGUC
rnacentral:rRNA from 1 species